UACGUAGGGUGCGAGCGUUUGUCCGGAAUUAUUGGGCGUAAAGGGCUCGUAGGCGGUUUGUCGCGUCGGGAGUGAAAUCCACUGGCUUAACUGGUGGCUUGCUUUCGAUACGGGCAGACUGGAGGUAUGCAGGGGAGAACGGAAUUCCUGGUGUAGCGGUGAAAUGCGCAGAUAUCAGGAGGAACACCGGUGGCGAAGGCGGUUCUCUGGG
rnacentral:rRNA from 1 species